rnacentral:tRNA from 1 species
AAAAGGAUGGCCGAAAAAGGUAUUAUACUGUAAAUAUAAUUAUGAAUAAUAUAUUCUCCUUUUA